rnacentral:rRNA from 1 species
UACGUAGGGCGCAAGCGUUGUCCGGAAUUAUUGGGCGUAAAGAGCUCGUAGGCGGCCUGUCGCGUCUGCUGUGAAAUCCCGGGGCUUAACCCCGGGCGUGCAGUGGAUACGGGCUGGCUGGAGGCAGGCAGGGGAGAAUGGAAUUCCCGGUGUAGCGGUGAAAUGCGCAGAUAUCGGGAGGAACACCGGUGGCGAAGGCGGUUCUCUGGGCCUGUUCUGACGCUGAGGAGCGAAAGCGUGGGGGAGCGAACAGG